CGCCUCUUGAAACAAAAACAUAAGAGGUCCCGCCUGCCCAGUGACUAUAAGUUUAACGGCCGCGGUAUUUUGACCGUGCAAAGGUAGCGCAAUCACUUGUCUUUUAAAUGAAGACCCGUAUGAAUGGCACCACGAGGGUUCAACUGUCUCCUUUUUCCUGUCAAUGAAAUUGAUCUCCCCGUGCAGAAGCGGGGAUUCCUCCAUAAGACGAGAAGACCCUAUGAAGCUUUAGGCGCCAGAACAGACUAUGUUAAACACCCUAACCCAAAAGACAAAACUAAUUAGGUCCUGUUCCAAUGCCUUUGGUUGGGGCGACCGCGGGGAAACAAAAAACCCCCAUGUGGACUAGGAGCAACCUUACUCCCACAACCCAGGGCUGCAGCCCUAAGUAACAGAAUCUCUGACCAUAAAUGAUCCGGUACAACCGAUCAACGAACCGAGUUACCCUAGGGAUAACAGCGCAAUCCCCUUCUAGAGUCCCUAUCGACAAGGGGGUUUACGACCUCGAUGUUGGAUCAGGACAUCCUAUUGGUGCAACCGCUAUUAAGGGUUCGUUUGUUCAACGAUUAAAGUCCU
rnacentral:rRNA from 1 species